AUGUUUCACAUCAAACGACAUCAAGAGACAAUUUCAAACAUCCCAUUUAUCAAAUUUAAAUCAAGGGACAUGUUCAACCUUCCCAUUUAUCAAACUUUGUAACCAUAUAGGCUAAUAUCUCGUUUUCGUGACAAGGGUCUUCCCAAUACUUUAUAUUUACCUUAUUUAAUACCAAAUAUCUCAAUAAAAUAAAAAGAAAAAACUCAAAAGUUAUAAACCCAAAAGACAAUCGAUAAAAAAAUA
rnacentral:lncRNA from 1 species